GUUUAAAGGGUGCGUAGGCGGAUUAGAUAGUCAAAGGUGAAAGCCUGCAGCUUAACUGUAGAAGUGCCUUGGAUACUGCUAAUCUUGAGUACAGUUGAGGCGAGUGGAAUGUGUAGUGUANCGGUGAAAUGCAUAGAUACUACACAGAACACCAAUUGCGAAGGCAGCUCGCUAAGCUGUUACUGACGCCCAGGCACGAAAGCGUGGGGAGCGAACAGGAUUAGAUACCCUGGUAGUCCACGCUGUAAACUAUGAUCACUAGCUGUUGGCGAUAAAUUGUCAGUGGCUCAGCGAAAGCGUUAAGUGAUCCACCUGGGGAGUACGAUCGCAAGGUUGAAACUCAAAGGAAUUGACGGGGGCCCGCACAAGCGGUGGAACAUGUGGUUUAAUUCGAUGAUACGCGAGGAACCUUACCUGGGCUUAAAUGUAGCGCGACGUCUCGAGAAAUCGGGAUUCCCUUCGGGGCGAACUACAAGGUGCUGCAUGGUUGUCGUCAGCUCGUGCCGUGAGGUAUCGGGUUAAGUCCCAUAACGAGCGCAACCCUUAUUGUUAGUUGCCAGCGGAUAAUGCCGGGGACUCUAACAAAACUGCCCGUGUAAACGGGAGGAAGGUGGGGAUGACGUCAAAUCAGCACGGCCCUUAUGUCCAGGGCUACACACGUGUUACAAUGGCUGGAACAAAGGGCAGCUACCACGCAAGUGGAUGCUAAUCUCUAAAUCCAGUCCCAGUUCGGAUCGAAGUCUGCAAUUCGACUUCGUGAAGAUGGAAUCGCUAGUAAUCGCGCAUCAGCAAUGGCGCGGUGAAUAUGUUCCCGGGCCUUGUACACACUGCCCGUCAAGCCAUGGAAGUUAGUAGUACCUGAAGUCCGUAACCGAAAGGAGCGGCCUAGGGUAAGACUAAUGACUGG
rnacentral:rRNA from 1 species